GAUAAACGCUGGCGGCGUGCUUAACACAUGCAAGUCGAACGAAGUUUUUCCUUCGGGAGAAACUUAGUGGCGGACGGGUGAGUAACGCGUGGGUAACCUGCCCUGUACAGGGGGACAACAGCUGGAAACGGCUGCUAAUACCGCAUAAGCACUUAGCACUGCAUGGUGCAUAGGGAAAAGGAGCAAUCCGGUACAGGAUGGACCCGCGUCUGAUUAGCCAGUUGGCAGGGUAACGGCCUACCAAAGCGACGAUCAGUAGCCGAUCUGAGAGGAUGUACGGACACAUUGGGACUGAGACACGGCCCAGACUCCUACGGGAGGCAGCAGUGGGGAAUAUUGCACAAUGGAGGAAACUCUGAUGCAGCGACGCCGCGUGAGUGAAGAAGUAUUUCGGUAUGUAAAGCUCUAUCAGCAGGGAAGAAAAUGACGGUACCUGACUAAGAAGCACCGGCUAAAUACGU
rnacentral:rRNA from 1 species